AAAAAAAUAUGGCAAAGCAGAGCAGACCGUUUUGUAGGAGUUUUGGUCAAGGUACAGGUUGCGAUGGCGACUCGGGAAGUGCUUCCAUAUCCCCCAGGCUGCAGCUCCUGUUGCUGGCUGGACUGCUCUACAUCGGUGCCGCCUUGAGAACCAAAGGAGUUUUCUAAAAGAAAACCAUUUCGGGCAGUACCCACUCACACGAAUACACACGAAAUCACAGCCACACCCACACACCCACACACACACAACACACACACACACCUAAAAUUAAAACACAUAUAUUAAUAAAAAUUUAGCAAGCGGAAGAAAACCCGAAAAUGUUUAUGUAAAAGUACGAAUAGCACCCGGAAAAGCAGAUUGUGCAGCAAAUUUGUUAACGGAAGAAGAGAAAACCUAGUAGAAUCGGUUAGAGCCGAUCCAAGGAUAACAUUAAAUGGCGAUUGCUGAACCUUUGUAAAUUGAACAAAAAAAAGAAGGAAAUUAGAGCUCUCUGCACCCCCCAGAAGAAGCCAGCUAAAUUUUGCAUAUCACACGAGAGUCUGCCGAGUGGAAAUUUGGCUGCUCUCCAGACCGGGAGACACCCAAAUUGUUUUUGUGUAGUACGACGCUGACGCUAAAUUGCUUGAUUUGUAGGAACCUGGCCCAGAGACGGAGGCGGAGACAGUAGCCAGUAGCCAGUCUCCAAACAGAACUUUUGAUAAUUGAAAAUGUUUGUCCUGCCCUCGGGGCAGCCUGAAUAUGUUUACAUAGACUGGACACAGGAAUUCCAUUCCAUUCGCCCGUUCGACAGACAAAACCAGACACUUUUUGCCAGAGGGCGUGCGAGCAGAGCCACCACGCCCACACCCAUCUUGAGCGCAUUUAAUGGCACAAUUUUUGCUUUCAGUUCGGAGGAGUCCUUGUCGCCUAACGAUAUUUGGCCAAAUUGCAUUGGUUUCAUAUUAGGUUGAGGGGUCACUUGGUCACUUGAUUUCGAUUUGCUUUCCCAGGGAAACCACACAAAUUGUAAGCACCCAAGAUUCUUAUGAGAACAACCAAGUGGAAAUUUUUGGAAAACCAAACAAAACCAAACAAAAA
rnacentral:sRNA from 1 species